rnacentral:tRNA from 1 species
GGUAGACGCUACGGACUUA